CCUACGGGAGGCAGCAGUAGGGAAUCUUCCACAAUGGGCGAAAGCCUGAUGGAGCAACGCCGCGUGGGUGAAGAAGGUCUUCGGAUCGUAAAACCCUGUUGUUAGAGAAGAAAGUGCGUGAGAGUAACUGUUCACGUUUCGACGGUAUCUAACCAGAAAGCCACGGCUAACUACGUGCCAGCAGCCGCGGUAAUACGUAGGUGGCAAGCGUUAUCCGGAUUUAUUGGGAGUAAAGGGAACGCAGGCGGUCUUUUAAGUCUGAUGGGAAAGCCUUCGGCUUAACCGGAGUAGUGCAUUGGAAACUGGGAGACUUGAGUGCAGAAGAGGAGAGUGGAACUCUAUGUGUAGCGGUGAAAUGCGUAGAUAUAUGGAAGAACCCCAGUGGCGAAAGCGGCUCUCUGGUCUGUAACUGACGCUGAGGUUCGAAAGCGUGGGUAGCAAACAGGAUUAGAUACCCCAGUAGUC
rnacentral:rRNA from 1 species